rnacentral:rRNA from 1 species
UACGUAGGUGGCGAGCGUUAUUCGGAUUUAUUGGGCGUAAAGGGUCCGCAGGGGGUCCGGCAAGUCUGGUGUGAAAGCCCGUGGCUCAACCACGGAACGGCACUGGAAACUGCCGGACUAGAGGUCUGGAGAGGAGCGCGGAAUUCCCGGUGUAGCGGUGGAAUGCGUAGAUAUCGGGAGGAACGCCAAUGGCGAAGGCAGCGCUCUGGACAGCACCUGACCCUCAUGGACGAAAGCCGGGGGAGCAAAC